rnacentral:rRNA from 1 species
CACCGCGGUUAUACGAGAGACCCGAGUUGACACUCACCGGCGUAAAGAGUGGUUACGGUUCUUACUAAACUAAAGCCGAACACUUCCUAGGCUGUUAUACGCACCUGCAAGUACGAAGCCCUCUCACGAAAGUAGCUUUAAUUCCUCCCCGAACCCACGACAGCUAUGCCA